AGAUCUAAGUUUGUAUAUAUAACCUUAUGUAUAUACGGAUGCUUCCAUGUGUUUUAUAAAGGACGUAAUCUUCUCAGGUUUGAGCAUUUGCCGGGAUUAAAUGUAAUUACUCUGAUUUUGUAAUGUUUGUGAGAACAAAGUCGAAGGAUCAGGGAAACGAUAAGGUGAGUAUAAAAAUGAAGUUAAUUUACACUGAACGUUGCUCUUUUAGGCACCUCACAAAGAGAAAACAACCUCAGUCUAUGAUUUAAAGACUCAUUUGGAGUCCUUUGUAGGCAUACCGGCAGAUAAACAAUAACCACAAACACUCGAUCGCACAUUGAACAAUUUUGAUGAGCUCUUUAAGGUCGUUAAUCAGGAAAUUGGCGACGAUAAUAUUAAUUUCCUUAUAUAUGUAUGUACAUACGAGCAACGAGUUUUUCUGCUUCUUGCAGUUCUAUAGUCAGAACGAAGGUGAUAAACAGAACAACUUCUUCAGCCAACCGUUAAAUGUUAGAAAAUUGCCCAUCGAUCAGGUGCCACAGUAUUGUGAGAAUAUAAUCGACUCGGCUGAUUCUUUGCAUUCGACAACAUCCGAAUCAGAUCAAUAAAAUAGAACUCCUAGCAAUCAAGCGUGGAUAGGAGAAGUCGUACACUCAAGUCUAUUCCAAAGAACAAUUCUUCCCCAAAACGGGAACUGAAGUUUAUACGACCACAGCUCUGAGAGUACUCAAAAAUACCAAUAAGCACCACUUAUUUGUGCCAAGGCCAGAUGAAAAAUAUUCGUCUCCUUAAACAACUUGCGGCAGCACCAUACUGCAUCUCAACAGUGUGUAAUACUUAAUAAAACUUAAACAUUUAUAGAGGUUCAUAGUGCGGACACUUGUGGCAAUCCAGUCCAACGUAUCAUUAUCCUCACAUGGCAACCACAAUUUGUCAUCGUAAUUCGUUAUUGAGGCAUAUUCACUGAAGUUAAAUCCACAGCUCUGAGGGGACUUAAAUAUCUCAUAAAACUGUUUCAAUAGAAGACUAUAUUUUGGAUGGCUCAUCGAUGGCAUGGUUACCAGCGAAUAUCUACGGUGAUCCGGCUUAAUGGCUUCGAUCCGGAGUCGGAGGAGCUUGCCUUCAAAGCCGUAACCAAUUUGUGCAAAAAUGAACAGCUUAUUAUGUAUGUGAAUGAAGUAUUGCUCCCGGAAGCUGAUUGUAAUUGAAUUAUGAACGAGUUGAUUUGAAUGAAUUCGAUGAAUGAAAUAAACUAAGGUCGUGCUUAAACUGCUGGGACUUGGGCUAUUUAGGUAGCUAAUUAGAAGGAGUUGAGCAUGGAUAUCUGGAAACCAUCGAUAUUGCGCGACUGGAGGAAGUCGUGGUUGUUUUUUACCGUUCCACAUCGCAGGAACAAACAAUCACACACGAAUGGCUGACGUAGGCUGAAGCCAGCCCACAGGCCUGGCAAUUCUGCUGGCAGCUUAUGCAGCUGGGAAAGAGUCAAGAAGUACAAUAUUUUGGGGGUGCCCCGCUGCACUACACUCGAAGCUGAUGAAGUAUUGGCACGAAGUGCCCCCCGAAAACCGUAAGGAGCUCAAGCAAAAGAUUUUAGAAACGAUUGUGCAAUUCGGAGGAGAACCCAAACUCGUGCUUAACCGGCUCUGUCUAUCGGUAAAGGCACAGUUUGAACAGCACUUCUAUACUAAAUCCAUAUUUGUCUUCGUAGAGGAGGUAAUCGAGACGUUCCAAAAUCAACGUAUUCCGAAGAGCUGGAAGUGCUGCUGGGCAUACCCGAGGAGGCGCUAAUCAUUCAUUUAUCUAUUAAUAUAUAACUGGAUAUAUAGAGUGUUAAGAAGAUGGGAUAAAGUUAUAGUGAUGGGAAAUCUCCGACCCGUUGGGGGAAAUUUAUAGCCUGUCCGGCAAGCUAUGCCCCUACUCAUAGCUGGGAAUGGUUAGUGAGUUCCCGAAGGUAUCCUGAAAGCAACGAUUUCAUCAACUUAUGUAGGAAGACAACACCCAAGAAUGUCCUGCGGUUAGUUAACGAUGGAAGAUCAAGAAGAAGAAGCCUGCUGGAGUAGGAUGGCAACCGAAGAUUGGGGUCCCAAUUUAAACCUCGUAAGCCGAAAAGCAGAAAUUGCUUCUGAACUGACUCAAUACGAUCCUGGCUAUUAUUAUACUGCAGAGACCAGAUGCAAGAGCAGUAUUAUAUCAUAUUUAUAACUAACAAAAAGUUAAUUUUAACAAAACAGUUUUGUAUAUCUAGUUCAAAUAACUGGAAAAAGAAAAAAAGAUUCCUUAAAUGGAUGUUUUGAUUUGUAGCAAUUAGGAAGUAGGCGAUAGUUAUAGAAUGAAAUAUUCUUGAUCUGUGUGUACUUUUUUGUUUGUUGACUCUAGUUAUUAUAGCCUAAGAGAUUUGUUUUAAAAACAGAACUUCGAUAUUGAUUCUUAUCGAUUGCUUGGAAACAAGGCAAGUUUUUGAUUAUCGGACACACACUAGGAGGACUAACGUUCAAAAUUGCAAGUCCUUAGCUCUUAUUGGUUUUGGGAUCGAUGCGUUAAUAAAUACGGACAAAUUUUUAAAAAUUGUAGUUGCACAGAGAAUUGAAAUUAAAUCAGCAAUGCUGCACAAAUUCAGUUAACAAAAUGCACCUGAUUAGGAAAAUAAUAAAAUACAAAUAAGAUAACCUUGAUCCCAAGAUUUUUCUAAUCACAUUUGGGUAGAAUUCAAUAAAACGGGCAGUUCUAAUUUUAAAAGUAAAGAGCUUUAUUAAAAUCUUGAAAAUCUGUCAAAAAUUGCACAUUUAUCAUCCAAAAGGGGCAGAUUUUGCGAAAAGUGUGAAACACAUCUUAAAUUAAUUUUCAUAAAUAUCUUUGAAAAUGAUUUUGACGGCGAUGGGGUGGUUAACAAGAAACUUUCAUACGAUCGUUUUCCGCCAAUUCAUCACAGUUGCAGAUGCAAUUUCCAAAUUGGCUGAAAGUUAAGUUAUCUUUUAUUUAUACCAAGGAGGAAUGGAUUUGAUAAAAACUGGGGGGAAUCGAUCUAGCCAUUUUCGCGUGAUGUUAAGUAGUCCUUGCCUGCAGAUAUUAAAAUAUAUUUAAGACGCGUGUUGUUUAAUUACGUUUUAUUUUUUCAUCUGUCUCUGACAUCUUUAUGCUUAAUACAAUUGAAUAUUAAUUUGCAAAAACCAUUUUGUAAUAUGUAUUUUAGGCUGCUUCCUUGGCUAGACGGUCGGCCUUUUCAACAACUUCUUCGAUUGGCCCAACCAUGUAAAACGCAAUCUCUGGCAGAUGAUCGUAUUCACCACCCAAAAUCUGUGAGAAGCCUUUAAUUGUUUGCUCCAAUGGGACCAGUUUGCCGGCAUGUCCAGUAAAGACCUCAGCGACUUGGAAUGGCUGUGACAAGAAACGCUGGAUCUUACGUGCACGCGCGACUGUCAGUUUGUCCUCCUCAGACAACUCAUCCAUACCCAAGAUGGCAAUGAUAUCUUGGAGAGAUUUAUAAUCUUGCAAGAUUUUUUGCACACCGCGAGCGACAUUAUAGUGUUCCUGGCCAAUGAUGUUGGGAUCCAUAAUACGCGAAGUGGAAUCCAAAGGAUCUACAGCUGGGUAGAUACCCAAUUCGGCAAUGGCACGCGACAAGACAGUGGUGGCGUCCAAAUGGGCGAAAGUUGUGGCCGGAGCAGGAUCGGUCAAAUCAUCAGCUGGAACAUAAAUAGCCUGCACCGAAGUGAUAGAGCCCUUCUUGGUUGUGGUAAUACGUUCUUGCAUAGUACCCAUGUCAGUUGCCAAAGUCGGCUGGUAACCGACGGCUGAUGGAAUACGACCCAAAAGAGCUGACACUUCGGAACCGGCCUGAGUAAAACGGAAAAUGUUGUCAAUGAAAAGCAGCACAUCCUGUCCCUCCUGGUCACGGAAAUACUCGGCAACGGUGAGACCAGUCAAGGCAACACGAGCACGAGCGCCUGGAGGUUCAUUCAUUUGACCGUACACGAGAGCCACCUUUGAUGUCUUAUCCUUGAGCGAAAUAACACCAGAUUCAAUCAUCUCGUUGUACAGAUCAUUGCCCUCACGAGUACGUUCGCCAACACCGGCAAACACAGAGUAACCACCAUGUGCCUUGGCCACGUUGUUGAUGAGCUCCAUAAUGAGCACAGUUUUGCCGACACCAGCACCGCCAAACAGACCGAUUUUACCACCCUUACAAUAGGGUGCUAGAAGGUCGACUACUUUAAUUCCAGUAACCAGAAUUUCCUGUUCGACUGACAUGUCCACGAAUUCAGGAGCUUCAGCAUGAAUAGGAGAGGUAUGAUCAGACGCAAUUGGACCACGCUCAUCGAUUGGUUCGCCUUAAAACGUGGAAACAUUUCGUAUAUAUAACUUUACAGUUUUAAUAUAUAUAUUUAUUUAUAAAUUGAUGCUCACCAAUGACAUUCAUAAUGCGUCCCAACGUCUCCGCUCCGACUGGAAUACGAAUUGGGGAGCCAGUAUCGAGAACCUUCUGUCCACGAACCAAACCCUCAGUACCGUCCAUAGCAAUGGUACGUACGGUGUUUUCGCCCAAAUGUUGGGCUACUUCUAGUACCAAACGUGGGGAACGGUUGUCAACCUCCAAUGCAUUCAGAAUUGGCGGCAAGUUAUCAUCAAAUUGCACGUCAACGACGGCACCAAUUACGGCCACAAUUUUGCCAUUGGCUACAGCGGCCGCCUUAGCAGCUGCCUUGGCAGCAUGGCCGCGAG